rnacentral:pre_miRNA from 1 species
UCCCUGAGACCCUAACUUGUGAUCGGCUCAGGUUUCACAGGGUUAGAGCUUCAGGUACC